rnacentral:rRNA from 1 species
GACGAACGCUGGCGGCGUGCUUAACACAUGCAAGUCGAACGGAAAGGCCCUGCUUUUGUGGGGUGCUCGAGUGGCGAACGGGUGAGUAACACGUGAGUAACCUGCCCUUCACUUUGGGAUAACUUCAGGAAACUGGGGCUAAUACCGGAUAGGAGCUCCUGCUGCAUGGUGGGGGUUUGAAAGUUUCGGCGGUUGGGGAUGGACUCGCGGCUUAUCAGCUUGUUUGUGGGGUAGUGGCUUACCAAGGCUUUGACGGGUAGCCGGCCUGAGAGGGUGAACGGCCACAUUGGGACUGAGAUACGGCCCAGACUCCUACGGGAGGCAGCAGUGGGGAAUAUUGCACAAUGGGCGGAAGCCUGAUGCAGCAACGCCGCGUGCGGGAUGACGGCCUUCGGGUUGUAAACCGCUUUCGCCUGUGACGAAGCGUGAGUGACGGUAAUGGGUAAAGAAGCAACGGCUAACUACGUG